GUAUGUUGUUAUAUUUCCAAGUCAACCAUUUAUCAGGCAAACACUUUUCUGUCCCCUCGUAGUCUCCUAGAUAGUUGUGAUCGUUUGGUUGUCAAGUGCUUUUCCCCCCCAAAGGAAGAAAACACUUGUAGAUAAAAUUCUUUGAUGAUCCCUCCGCAGGUUCACCUACGGAGA
rnacentral:misc_RNA from 1 species